UACCAGACUCCUACGGGAGGCAGCAGUGAGGAAUAUUGGUCAAUGGCCGAGAGGCUGAACCAGCCAAGUCGCGUGAGGGAUGACGGCCCUACGGGUUGUAAACCUCUUUUGUCGGGGAGCAAAGAGAGUCACGUGUGGCUCAUUGAGAGUACCCGAAGAAAAAGCAUCGGCUAACUCCGUGCCAGCAGCCGCGGUAAUACGGAGGAUGCGAGCGUUAUCCGGAUUUAUUGGGUUUAAAGGGUGCGCAGGCGGGCUGUUAAGCCGGCGGUAAAAAUUCAGGGCUCAACCCUGUCGAGCCGUCGGAACUGGCAGUCUUGAGUGGGCGAGAAGUAUGCGGAAUGCGUGGUGUAGCGGUGAAAUGCAUAGAUAUCACGCAGAACGCCGAUUGCGAAGGCAGCAUACCGGCGCCCAACUGACGCUGAGGCACGAAAGCGUGGGGAUCGAACAGGAUUAGAUACCCUGGUAA
rnacentral:rRNA from 1 species